AACGAACGCUGGCGGCAUGCCCAACACAUGCAAGUCGAACGAGAUCUUCGGGUCUAGUGGCGCACGGGUGCGUAACGCGUGGGAAUCUGCCCUUUGGUUCGGAAUAACAGUUGGAAACGACUGCUAUACCGGAUGAUGACGAAAGUCCAAAGAUUUAUCGCCAGAGGAUGAGCCCGCGUAGGAUUAGCUAGUUGGUGUGGUAAAGGCGCACCAAGGCGACGAUCCUUAGCUGGUCUGAGAGGAUGAUCAGCCACACUGGGACUGAGACACGGCCCAGACUCCUACGGGAGGCAGCAGUGGGGAAUAUUGGACAAUGGGCGAAAGCCUGAUCCAGCAAUGCCGCGUGAGUGAUGAAGGCCUUAGGGUUGUAAAGCUCUUUUACCCGGGAUGAUAAUGACAGUACCGGGAGAAUAAGCUCCGGCUAACUCCGUGCCAGCAGCCGCGGUAA
rnacentral:rRNA from 1 species